UACGUAGGGUGCAAGCGUUAAUCGGAAUUACUGGGCGUAAAGCGUGCGCAGGCGGUGAUGUAAGACAGUUGUGAAAUCCCCGGGCUCAACCUGGGAAUGGCGAUGAAGACUGCAAGGCUAGAAUCUGGCAGAGGGGGGGUAGAAUUCCACGUGUAGCAGUGAAAUGCGUAGAGAUGUGGAGGAACACCGAUGGCGAAGGCAGCCCCCUGGGUCAAGAUUGACGCUCAUGCACGAAAGCGUGGGGAGCAAACAGG
rnacentral:rRNA from 1 species